UGGGGAAUAUUGCACAAUGGGCGAAAGCCUGAUGCAGCAACGCCGCGUGAGCGAUGAAGGCCUUCGGGUCGUAAAGCUCUGUCCUCAAGGAAGAUAAUGACGGUACUUGAGGAGGAAGCCCCGGCUAACUACGUGCCAGCAGCCGCGGUAAUACGUAGGGGGCUAGCGUUAUCCGGAAUUACUGGGCGUAAAGGGUGCGUAGGUGGUUUCUUAAGUCAAAGGUGAAAGGCUACGGCUCAACCGUAGUAAGCCUUUGAAACUGGGAAAUUUGAGUGCAGGAGAGGAGAGUGGAAUUCCUAGUGUAGCGGUGAAAUGCGUAGAGAUUAGGAGGAACACCAGUUGCGAAGGCGGCUUUCUGGACUGUAACUGACACUGCGGCACGAAAGCGUGGGGAGCAAACA
rnacentral:rRNA from 1 species